rnacentral:misc_RNA from 1 species
GCUCCGUUGGUGAACCAGCGGAGGGAUCAUUAAAGGACUCGCAAGACUCCUUCACCCUGUGAAACUCACUACAAGCACGUUGCAUCGGCGGGUGUCCCGGCAGGGGUUUUCCCGCCCCGGGGCGCACAGCCAGCCGGCAGCCUACUAUACUCUGUCUCUUUGCGUUGGCUUCUCGAGAUAAAACAAUCAAGUCAAAACUUUCAACAACGGAUCUCUUGGUUCUG